GGUCUGUCGAGGAUGUGUUCCGCGCGGCCACGCCGCAUGGAGAUUGGAGAAGAUCAUGGAAAAAUUGAGGACGGAGGAGGUCGUCAGGGUCAAGGUCUUCAGCACCCCGAGCUCAACAUGCGUCUCUUCCACAAAAUACUCGAGACUGAGAGGAGCCAGAGCUGGCGGGUGCAAGCUGUUUCUGUUCCUAAUGAGAUGUGCCAGAGCUGGCUACUGCAAGAUGUUGCUGUUCCUGCUUGUAUGUGUGUAUAAAUAAUGAAAGGUGCUUGUAUGUGAACUGAUUUCUUGUCAAGUGUGGACUGAUUUCAUGUCAAAUGUCAAUUGAAGUGCUGGCUAUUUCAAAUUUAAUGUUUUAAUUGUGUGAACCAAAGUGUACUGUGGUAACAUGUAUACUAUGUGAACUGAUCCAUGCCUACACAAUGGCUACAAAGAUCCAAUUAUGUAAAAGAUCAUCAUGAUUUAUGUGUCAAAGGAUA